GACGAACGCUGGCGGCGUGCCUAAUACAUGCAAGUCGAACGAAAGCGCCCUGUUCUUGCACUGCUCAAUCUAGUAGCGAACGGGUGAGUAACACGUGGUUAACCUGCCCAUCAGAGGGGGAUAACAUUCGGAAACGGUUGCUCAAACCGCAUAGGUCUUCUAACCGCGUGGUUUGAAGAGGAAUUGAGGCGCAGGCGUCCUCUGAUCGUUUGACCCGCGGUGCAUUAGCUAGUUGGUGAGGUAACGGCUCAGCAAGGCCGGGAUGCAUAGCCGACCGGAGAGGGGGAUCGGGCAUAAUGGGACUGAGACACGGCCCAAACUCCUACGGGAGGCCGCAGUAGGGAAUGUUCCGCAAUGGGCGCAAAUCUGACAGAGCGACGCCGCGUGAGUGAAGGAGGUCUUCGGGUCGUAAAACGCUGUUGUUUGGGAAGAACAUGUGCUAGAGUAACUGUCAGCUCCUUGACGGUAUCUAAACAGAAAGCCACGGCUAACUACGUG
rnacentral:rRNA from 1 species